rnacentral:lncRNA from 1 species
GCAGCACAGCGCAGCGCUCCUGGAGAGGCUGUGGGUUCGUGGCAUCCGCGCCGCGGCCGCAAGUAUAGCAGGUUCGUACCUGGUGUUCAUCGCCGUUAAGUCAUCGCUGCUGCCACCCAGGCACGGCUCUCUAUGACGCCGCUCCCUCCACCCUCUAGGCACUGCCAGCCGUAAGAAUUUUAACUGCGACACUCGCUUCAUCAGGAGAUUUUAUUGGCUGCAGACACACCCAGCAUCUUCUUGCGCUCCUCCUUGAGGUGGAUGGACAGCUAGCUGCAGAUGGCACAGAAUGGUGAGCAUCUUUUUGCACGCCGCAUUGCCCGCUGGCUCCAAGAUCUCGGCUGCCAGUGACUUCAACAGAAGUGGAGUAAAUAAAGAUGAUUGCAGAACUUGGAAGCUGACGAAAUUAAUUUUGGAAAAGAGCUGGCUUGGAGCAUGACAGAAGAAUGCGUUGGAAAGAAUGCUGGGAGCCCAACUCAAGACUGAUGUGUGCUUGGCAGGCAGUCUACCCCCGAUCUCAGUCCUCAGCCUUUCGGCCUUUUUUCUUUCCUUUUUGGAGACAGAAUUGCAUCAUAUGGCAUCCUACACAGUCCUGCCUCAGUCUCUGGAGUGCUGGGAUUGUAGGCCUAUGCCACCUAGCCUUUCUACAAUACAAACAAAUAUGAAAAGAAGAGGGGCUUCUUUGGAAAGGAGUACAGGGACUA